CCUACGGGAGGCAGCAGUGGGGAAUAUUGCACAAUGGGCGAAACCCUGAUGCAGCGACGCCGCGUGAGCGAUGAAGUAUUUAGGUAUGUUAAGCUCUAUCAGCAGGGAAGAAAAUGACGGUACCUGACUAAGAAGCUCCGGCUAACUACGUGCCAGCAGCCGCGGUACUACGUAGGGGGCAAGCGUUAUCCGGAUUUACUGGGUGUAAAGGGAGCGUAGACGGCUGUGCAAGCCAGAUGUGAAAGCCCGGGGCUCAACCCCGGGACUGCAUUUGGAACUGUGUGGCUGGAGUGUCGGAGAGGCAGGCGGAAGUCCUGGUGUAGCGGUGAAAUGCGUAGAUAUUAGGAGGAACACCAGUGGCGAAGGCGGCCUGCUGGACGAUGACUGACGUUGAGGCUCGAAAGCGUGGGGAGCAAACAGGAUUAGAUACCCUAGUAGUC
rnacentral:rRNA from 1 species